AUUGAACGCUGGCGGCAUGCCUUACACAUGCAAGUCGAACGGCAGCACGGGGGCAACCCUGGUGGCGAGUGGCGAACGGGUGAGUAAUGCAUCGGAACGUGCCCAGUAGUGGGGGAUAACCAGUCGAAAGACUGGCUAAUACCGCAUACGACCUACGGGUGAAAGCGGGGGACCGUAAGGCCUCGCGCUAUUGGAGCGGCCGAUGUCUGAUUAGCUAGUUGGCGGGGUAAGAGCCCACCAAGGCGACGAUCAGUAGCUGGUCUGAGAGGACGACCAGCCACACUGGGACUGAGACACGGCCCAGACUCCUACGGGAGGCAGCAGUGGGGAAUUUUGGACAAUGGGCGCAAGCCUGAUCCAGCCAUGCCGCGUGCGGGAAGAAGGCCUUCGGGUUGUAAAGGACUUUUGUCCGGGAGCAAAUUCCCAGUGCUAAUAACGCUGGGGGCUGAGAGUACCGGAAGAAUAAGCACCGGCUAACUACGUGCCAGCAGCCGCAGUAACAC
rnacentral:rRNA from 1 species